AGCUGCUAAUCACAGCAUAUAUUCCGGUGGUAAUUGUGAUAACAAACAUCAAAGCAAAAACAACACUAGAAUGCUUUGAAUUUUUGACUUCAUUUUCUCUUACUAUAGGAGCUAAUAUGAAGCAAACAACCAUAGCGACUUGGCGAUUAGAUAGAAAGUUUCGUAUGGCGACAACAUAACAGACAGUGUUGAUCCAACAAAUGCUAUUGCCAGCAAGAAAUGUUAGGAAGAACACAUGCCAAUAGGAUAGAUAAGAAAUUUGGUUGGUUAUGAAGAGAUAUUGUAGACCAUAACCGAUUAGUCCGAGAAACGAACCGAUGAUGAGGACGAGCCAGAGAGGGAGGUAAAUAGCAGCAAGGCCGGAAAACCAACCAAAAAGUUUGCCAGCAUCAGAUGCAAAAGCAAGGUUAUUGAGUUCAACUUGUGAAAUGGAGAGAAGUUGUUUUAGCUGGGAAGAAUAAGCUGGGAAAUUAGUGUUUGUUCCAUUUAUGACUUGGAGCCAAAUGAUGGCAACUAGGCUAAGCCAUUGAAGAGUAGAAGAAGGCAUUGUGAAGAAGAAUGAUGAGUAAAACUUGUAAGACAUUAAGAGAGGUUAUAUGGUAUGGUAUGUGUGUGUGAGGGAUUAAAUGUUGAUAAGAAAAAAGAAUGGGCUAGAUGAUUAAGGUGUGCAACAAAGUCAAGAAAUUAAUAUGGUGACACAUGAAAUUGAAUAACGUGGCUGUACCUGUAUGUGUAAAAUGUUGUUCUGUAUUAUGGACAAAAAGUUAUCUUUUAGAUUUAUUGGUUAAAUGAUGUAAAUGCUUUAUA